rnacentral:misc_RNA from 1 species
AUUUCACAGAAGCCAAAGCAGAAGGUCUAUUGGUAGUCUGCUGGCAUAUGCAAGAUGUACUCCAGAAUAGCACAAAUUCGCCUUGUGAGUUCACAUCAUGAGGUUUAUGAGCCAUGUGAUGAUUCAUUUGCAUUAGUUGAUGCACUUCUAGCUGAUCAAACUAACCUUUUGGAGCAUAAUCCUAGAUUAUGUGUGGAAGUGGGUUGUGGUAGUGGUUAUGUUAUUACCUCUCUUGCUCUUAUGCUCAGGCAGCGUAUUCCUGGGGUCUACUAUAUAGCCACUGACCUCAACCCUCAUGCAAUUAGUGUAACGCAUGAGACACUGGAAGCACAUGGUGUUCAUGCAGAGUUGAUACACACUGACAUUGUGUCUGGACUGGAAAAGCGACUGGCAGGGAUGGUAGAUGUGAUGGUUGUGAACCCACCUUAUGUCCCAACACCUGAUGAUGAAGUGGGUUGUGACGGAAUUACUUCUGCUUGGGCUGGAGGGGAGAAUGGUCGGAGAGUUAUCGACAGGAUAUUGCCCAUUGCGGAUGUUCUUUUGUCUGACAGAGGCUGGUUAUACAUGGUCACUCUUGCAGCAAAUGAUCCUUCACAGAUAUGCCGUCUAAUGAGAAAGAAGGGUUAUGCUUCUAGAAUUGUCGUCCAGAGAUCAACAGAAGAAGAGAGUCUUCUUGUCAUCAAGUUCUGGCGGGAUCCUGACACUCAAUUGGAUGCAAAGAAAACCAUAACAAACAAAACAAUUCCUGAAAGGGUCGUGGAGUCACUGUUUUCGCAGUUUUGUCAAUUGCCAUUCUCGAGAAAUGGUGGUAGCAACAGCUGAUCAAUGAGAAGGUAAAGUUCAUGCCUUUGCCUCUUGUUUGGUCAUUAUUUCUGUUUCGUUUAUAUAUUUUCAUGUUGUUCCUUGGGAUGUUUGCGUUCUAUGCUCCCUCAUUAUUUGCUGCCAAUAUGUUGUAUUCAUAUUUUUAUUGAAAGCAGCAUCAAUUUACUCUCGCUGUUCCAUAUGAAUGUCUCUCACCAGCCUCUACCUCCCCCUUUCUCCUAUUUCUGUAUCCUCAUUCUUUCACUUUGUGGUCACGGUUGCACGAGUUUAAUGCUUUUGGCCGGCCAUAAAAAAGAAUGUAAAAAGUGGAUAGAGGAAACAGAGCAUACCUCAACUGAUAUCUGAGCUGUUCUAUUAGUCUUUUAUUUUCCUAUCUUUAGUACUAAUCCAUUUUUUUUCUCAGAUCUUUUAUCUAUCAGUAGGUUCGAACUUAUCUGUCCCCGAUAAUAACCUUACAUUUCACAGGACAUAUUUGCAUGUAUGGGUAUUGUAGAACAAGUCUAGACCUUCCUUCUAGCAAGUCUUAAAGAACAUGGAUCUCAAUCUUUUGAAUUAUGACUUCAUCUACAACUUGAAGGAGAGUCUCCUUGUACAUGACAUGAAGUUCAACUUAUUUGUUGAUUUUGGAUGUAUUAGUUGUUUGGUUCUAAACCACUUCUUUGAAUAUCUCGGAAAUCCAAUUCAUAACAUUGUACUUGAAACAUUAUUGACGACUUUCAAAUAUCAAUUACCUUACUAUCAAGACAUUUAUUGUCUUGCAUUGUCUGAAAAUUUUCUUGCUGAUGGUCCUUCAGUCUUCAUAAAAGCAUGUAGGCAAAGUUAAGUUAGAGCACAGCAGAAAGCACCGGCAGGUCAUAGUUGUUUAUGAUCUGGAAUCAGAUUGGUUUCAGAUGUAGUGAUGAGUCGACAUUCAUAUAUUCAUCGAAGCCCUAUGCAUGCUUCAACUAGACGUGGAGUUUCAGUGUAAAGGAUGAUCAACAAUCUUGUGUAAGAUGAGGCAAUUUUUAUGUUCAGAUUUUGUUUGGCUUAGGCCAGAUAAUGAUUGUGUACGUAAUGCGAGUUCUCCAUGAGAGAGGGUUUU